rnacentral:rRNA from 1 species
CACUCCUGCGGGAGGCAGCAGUGGGGAAUAUUGCACAAUGGGCGCAAGCCUGAUGCAGCCAUGCCGCGUGUAUGAAGAAGGCCUUCGGGUUGUAAAGUACUUUCAGCGGGGAGGAAGGCGAUAAGGUUAAUAACCUUGUCGAUUGACGUUACCCGCAGAAGAAGCACCGGCUAACUCCGUGCCAGCAGCCGCGGUAAUACGGAGGGUGCAAGCGUUAAUCGGAAUUACUGGGCGUAAAGCGCACGCAGGCGGUCUGUCAAGUCGGAUGUGAAAUCCCCGGGCUCAACCUGGGAACUGCAUUCGAAACUGGCAGGCUAGAGUCUUGUAGAGGGGGGUAGAAUUCCAGGUGUAGCGGUGAAAUGCGUAGAGAUCUGGAGGAAUACCGGUGGCGAAGGCGGCCCCCUGGACAAAGACUGACGCUCAGGUGCGAAAGCGUGGGGAGCAAACAGGAUUAGAUACCCCAGUAGUCCCA